rnacentral:rRNA from 1 species
UACGUAGGUGGCAAGCGUUGUCCGGAAUUAUUGGGCGUAAAGCGCGCGCAGGCGGUCCUUUAAGUCUGAUGUGAAAGCCCACGGCUCGACCGUGGAGGGUCAUUGGAAACUGGGGGACUUGAGUGCAGAAGAGGAAAGCGGAAUUCCACGUGUAGCGGUGAAAUGCGUAGAGAUGUGGAGGAACACCAGUGGCGAAGGCGGCUUUCUGGUCUGUAACUGACGCUGAGGCGCGAAAGCGUGGGGAGCAAACAGG